rnacentral:rRNA from 1 species
ACUCAAAUGAAUAGACGGGGACCCGCACAAGCGGUGGAGUAUGUGGCUUAAUUCGAUGCAACGCGAAGAACCUUACCAAGGCUUGACAUGCAUCUCUAAGCACGUGAAAGCGUGUGACUCUUCGGAGGAUUUGCACAGGUGCUGCAUGGCCGUCGUCAGCUCGUGUCGUGAGAUGUUGGGUUAAGUCCCGCAACGAGCGCAACCCCUGUGAUUAGUUGCCAGCGGUUCGGCCGGGGACUCUAAUCAGACUGCCCAGAUCAACUGGGAGGAAGGUGGGGACGACGUCAGGUCAGUAUGGCCCUUACGCCUUGGGCUGCACACGUACUACAAUGUCCAGUACAAUGAGAACCGAGACCGCGAGGUGGAGGAAAUCUAUAAAACUGGGCCCAGUUCGGAUUGGAGGCUGCAACUCGCCUCCAUGAAGCCGGAAUCGCUAGUAAUGGUAGAUCAGCUACGCUACCGUGAAUACGUUCCCGGGUCUUGUACACACCGCCCGU